UGACUGCUCUUCCAGAGGACCUGAG
rnacentral:piRNA from 2 species